GGACUACUAGGGUAUCUAAUCCUGUUCGCUCCCCACGCUUUCGCUCCUCAGCGUCAGUGCCGGCCCAGAGUGCUGCCUUCGCCAUCGGUGUUCCUCCCGAUAUCUGCGCAUUUCACCGCUACACCGGGAAUUCCACACUCCCCUACCGGACUCUAGCCAUAGCAGUAUCGAAUGGCGGCUCCAGGUUGAGCCUGGAGUUUUCACAUCCGACUUGCCAAGCCGCCUACGAGCUCUUUACGCCCAAUGAAUCCGGACAACGCUCGCCCCCUACGUAUUACCGCGGCGGCUGGCAC
rnacentral:rRNA from 1 species